CGGGCAGGGGGGCGGCUGCCCCGGGCCUGUGCGGAGCCUGCCCUGCCACAGCCCCUUUCUCCUUGGGAGGCGCGCUCCUCCGGGAGCGGCUGCUUGCUGCGGAUGUUGGGCAACAGGCAGCGCUAGAAAGGGACCAGAGAUUCCGGGGUGGGCCCGUCUCCACAUCCUUCCCCUCAGGCCUGUGCCCCACUCCCUAGAGCAGGGACCCUGCUCCCUUCCUGCCUCCUGACAAGGCGCUGGCGCCUGAGGGUCCGACCUGCACAGCUGGGUAAGGGUCCUGUGCAUGUGCUCGACCCCCACCUCCUAGUGUGAGUCAGGAUUUGGCCUUGGGGCUAGUCCUUUCCAGUCUUUCCAUUCUUGUCCUCCAUCAUCCCCCCCCCCAACCUUAUCCAGCCCGAAAUCUCUUGGGGAGUUGAAGGGAGGAGGUCCAUUUUCAGGAGCUGCUCCCUGCUGGAGUGGCAUGUAGAGCUGGCCCUGCCUCCAAGGGCCCGGGAGAUGGUCUCCCUGACAAUCGUCCCUGAGCUGCCUGUUGGUGGUUCUGGAAGGAGGUGAGGGGGGGCAUCUGGACAGGCUGUUCCCCUUGGAGGGGUGAGCUGUUUGUUGGGAGGAGGAGUUUAACCUUGAGGCGCUCCCCCUCGCUUAGAAGAAACAAAUUUGAGUAGGAGAUUGUGUAUGUUAAGAUUUGAAGAGGAGAAUGAGAAGUACAGCAGCGGCUAAGGGCCCUCGGUCACAGGUGAAGUUGUAACAGGGGGUCCCCAGGAAAGGGGAGGUUCCAGGUUCCCUGCCCCACCCAAGGGAGGGUGGAGCUGAGCAGGGAGAGGAGAAGCUGCAGAGGAGACUGAGAAGGAAGGAAGCAGGAUGGCAGAACCUGUUUAGAGCAGGCAGGGUUGCAGGGUCUGGGCUGCCCCCUCCCUGCCCUGGAGCAAAGUCAUUGGGGCCAGCAGCUGAGUGUAGGCUUAGUCACAAGCUGAGCAGUAGUAGAAUAGCAAGUGUUGGGGUUGGGACAUGAGAGCACAUUGCACCAGGGACGCAGCCCAUUUUUCGAGUGCCCUUAGACUGAAAGAAUGUCGGUGGGAUAUUUGUUCCUCGCAGAGGAGCUGUUCUAAAUCCCCUGUGUCCCUAGUUAGAGCAACACCCACCCUGGGAGCCCUGAAAUGCUGGAGUAAGGCACAAAGCCAGGCACUCAGCAGGAGGGUUGGCUUGCUGUGUGUGCAGAGUCCCAAGGCCAGGGAAAAAUACUAGUUUCUUAGUUUAGUUAGGGACAGUGUUGUGCGACUUAUCACUGGGAGGCUUGUCAGACUCUCAGGAAAGUUGGGUGAGCUUUAAAGUAAAGUUAGAGUGAGGACCGCAGUCCUUCUUUUUAUUUAUUUAUUUUUUAAGGAAUAUUUCUUAUAAUACAAGAAUCGUGGUACAGGCCAGAUGCUUGAGAGGGUGAGAGGAUUCACCAGAGACAGAGUGGGGAACAGAACAGGCAGACUGACUGAAAUACACAGCUGGGAGGAGCAUCAGGGAGGCAGGAGAGGUCUGCUGUGAACAUGGGUAUCUCUCUGUCCGGGGAUCCAACCUGUGCUGCAGUGGCCGAGGAGAGUCCCAUGGCCUGCAUCCCAACCCCUUGCCCCACCAGGGAGGCGCCAUAAAAUGAUUUUUAAAAAUAUUUAUUUAUUUAUGCAUACAAAAGCUGGGGUACAGGCCAGAGAUGCAGGGUGUGAGAGGAUCCACCAGAGAGUGGGAAACAGAACAGCAGACUGACUGAAAUACGCUGCUGAGGGGAGCAGCGGGAGAGACAGGAGAGGUCUGCUGUGCCAUGUGAGUCAGUUCCCCGGCCAGGGAUCAAACUUAUCCUUCAAUGGUUGUCAUAGCUUCAUAGUGCUGUACUGAACCCCUUGUGCCACCAUGGGGCUCCUCACAACUCUCUUUUCACCUUGUGUCCUACGUAGAGUUCUGCUGGUGGCCAUGUAGUAACUGUAUAUUUUGAUUUCAGGAACCCUUGACCUGCAGAGAUGUGCCCAUCGAAUUCUCACACAAGGAGCAGGAGGUCCUGGACCAGCUGCAGUGGAAAUUGUACAGGGACGUGAUGCUAGAGGCCUACAGAAAUGUGGUGUCCUUGGGUCUUGCUGUGUCUACGCCCGAGCUGGUCAUCUUGUUGGAGCAAAAAAAUGGAGCCCUGGGAUGUGAAGAGAAGUGUAGAUUCCGUCCUCCUCCCAGACCACCAGGUCUCCGUGCCACAGUCAGGUACAGAAGAUUUGUUGCUAACUGUGGGACCGGGAAGAGAUGUAAUCGGCACCUUUGAGAAUUUAGAAUUAUUGAAAGACCAGACAUGUCAAGAUACAUGUGAAGGGCACAACAGUUGUUGCAAUGAAGAUUCCCAAUAAGGGACAAUUAUCCAUAACACACUUCCUCCUGUACAAAGUGAUCCUGCGUGUAAACCAUGUUGGGUCAAACUCCAUUUUAUGUCUGUUGCAGGUAGAGAUAAAUAUGUUUCUGUUAGCAAAGAUCCAUGUGACAUUUUUAAUAAGACACAAUCUCUGAGAAGAAUGUGGGAACAUAUGGGAAGUCCCCUAGUCCAUAAUGCAAAUGAUUAUUCAAAACAUUGUCAAUGUGGGAUAGAUUUAAACUUUCAGUCAUGUCAUUGUCAACAUCAGAGAAUUAGAAAGGAAGAUGAAAAAAAUCUACACAGGAUCCUAUUGAGGAGCCCUCAAUACUUUUCUAGCAUCAUGUACUUCAUGAGAAACUCUACAAUUGUAAAGGAUAUGGCAAAGCUACUAAAUGGUGCCCAAGACUUACUGAACAUCAGAGAGGGAAACCUCAGAAGUAUGAAGAGCAUGGUAAAGCCUUGUAUUGGCAUCCACAGCUGACUAACCAUCUAAGGAUUCAUGCUGGAGAAAAGCCUACAGGCAUCCUGACUGUAGUAACACCUUCCUGUGCUGUGUCACCUUUCCUGAUUGGAGAGUUCAUACUGGGGAGAAACCUUACAGAUGUGAGGAAUGUGGAAAAGUCUUUAACCAACUGUCAGCCUUUAACGAUCUUAGUCAGCAUCACAGAAUUCAUACUGAGGAGAAACCUUACAAUUGUGAAGAUUGUGGCAAAGCCUUUAACAAUAAGUCAUGUCUUACUCGGCAUCAUAGAAUUCAUACUGGGGAGAAACCUUGGAGAUGUGAAGAAUAUAGGCAAAGCCUUCUACCAACCAUCACUUUUAAGUCAACAUCACAGAAUUCAUACUGUCUCUAAAACUUUGCUGAGGUUCCACAAAAUUUCCUUUAAUUGAUUAAAUGACAGGCUACCAAAUUUUACUUUAAUUAAAUGUUUGGGAAGCUGUGUCAUAAAUACUAGAAAACAGCAAAAACAACCAUAUUUAAUCUCUAUAAAAAUUCUAGCCCUAAGUGAUAAUAUUGACAAUUAAAUCAUAA